GGGGGUGUAGCUCAGUUGGGAGAGCGCGAGCUUUGCAAGCUUGAGGCCAUCGGUUCAAUCCCGUUCACCUCCACCA
rnacentral:tRNA from 2 species